AUACGUAGGUGGCGAGCGUUGUCCGGAUUUACUGGGUGUAAAGGGCGUGUAGGCGGGAUAGCAAGUCAGAUGUGAAAUACCAAGGCUUAACUUUGGGGGUGCAUUUGAAACUGUUAUUCUUGAGUGUCGGAGAGGGAAGCGGAAUUCCUAGUGUAGCGGUGAAAUGCGUAGAUAUUAGGAGGAACACCAGUGGCGAAGGCGGCCUUCUGGACGAUAACUGACGCUGAGGCGCGAAAGCGUGGGGAGCGAACAGGAUUAGAUACCCUGGUAGUCCACGCUGUAAACGAUGAAUACUAGGUGUGGGGGGACUGACCCCCUCCGUGCCGCAGUUAACACAAUAAGUAUUCCACCUGGGGAGUACGAUCGCAAGAUUGAAACUCAAAGGAAUUGACGGGG
rnacentral:rRNA from 1 species